rnacentral:tRNA from 7 species
GGGCCGCUAGCUCAUCAGGCAGAGCAAGGGCCUUUUAAGCCCUGGGUGCUGGGUUCGAGUCCCAGGCGGCCCA